GAUGAACGCUGGCGGCGUGCCUAAUACAUGCAAGUCGAGCGAACGGACGAGAAGCUUGCUUCUCUGAUGUUAGCGGCGGACGGGUGAGUAACACGUGGAUAACCUACCUAUAAGACUGGGAUAACUUCGGGAAACCGGAGCUAAUACCGGAUAAUAUUUUGAACCGCAUGGUUCAAAAGUGAAAGACGGUCUUGCUGUCACUUAUAGAUGGAUCCGCGCUGCAUUAGCUAGUUGGUAAGGUAACGGCUUUCCAAGGCAACGAUGCAUAGCCGACCUGAGAGGGUGAUCGGCCACACUGGAACUGAGACACGGUCCAGACUCCUACGGGAGGCAGCAGUAGGGAAUCUUCCGCAAUGGGCGAAAGCCUGACGGAGCAACGCCGCGUGAGUGAUGAAGGUCUUCGGAUCGUAAAACUCUGUUAUUAGGGAAGAACAUAUGUGUAAGUAACUGUGCACAUCUUGACGGUACCUAAUCAGAAAGCCACGGCUAACUACGUG
rnacentral:rRNA from 1 species